rnacentral:rRNA from 1 species
ACGGAAGGCAGCAGUGGGGAAUAUUGCACAAUGGGCGAAAGCCUGAUGCAGCGACGCCGCGUGAGUGAAGAAGUAUUUCGGUAUGUAAAGCUCUAUCAGCAGGGAAGAAAAAUGACGGUACCUGACUAAGAAGCACCGGCUAAAUACGUGCCAGCAGCCGCGGUAAUACGUAUGGUGCAAGCGUUAUCCGGAUUUACUGGGUGUAAAGGGAGCGCAGGCGGUACGGCAAGUCUGAUGUGAAAGCCCGAGGCUCAACCCCGGUACUGCAUUGGAAACUGUCGAACUAGAGUGUCGGAGGGGUAAGCGGAAUUCCUAGUGUAGCGGUGAAAUGCGUAGAUAUUAGGAGGAACACCAGUGGCGAAGGCGGCUUACUGGACGAUAACUGACGCUGAGGCUCGAAAGCGUGGGGAGCAAACAGGAUUAGAUACCCUGGUA